UUUAAAAGUUUUUGUUUCUAUUCUAGACCAUAGAACUACCUAGCAUGAAAUUUUACCAAAAGUUAAUAUCUUAAAUUAUUUGCAAAGAUCACCUAAAUUUCCAACUAUUGAAUGAAGAAAAAUUUACUAACUUUGUGAUGCAACUAUCUUACAAAUUUUAUACGACUAACAUCUACAAGUUUUCGUUAUAAGUCCUUAAGCAUUAAUGUGACAUCCCACAUCGGAUAGAAGGGAAAACUUCCGACGAUAUAUAAGUAUAAACUCUUCAUAAUCCUGUAAACACAUUUUUAAGUCCUGAUGAUUCAUUUUUGUCCAAAACAGAUAAUAUCUACACAGUUGGGAGGUUACAAUUAAAGCCUAAACCCCACCCAUAUGAAUAGGAUUUGAACCCUUCUAAAGUCAUGUUUGAGAAGAUUUUUUUUUUUUUCAAUAAUAACUUUUGUGCUUGUUUGAAAUUGCUUGGGCUUAGGGCCGUAUCUCGACUGAGAAAUAAAUUUUUUUCGUCUGGGAUAAAAGGCUUUCUGGGCCGAGCUAAGGCAGCCCGAUCCGCGUGAGCCCAAGAUAAGAGGGCUCGACUCUCGGGUCCUGGUCUGGCCCCUUUUUAUAUUAAGUUACUAAUGACCUUUGCUUUGUCUGAAUGGCCCACACACGCCCAUCUUAUCUUCUGGAGUCAGACUCUCUCCCUGGAGUUUAAUCCAAGGAAGGGGGAAAGGUUGAGCAGGCAAAGCCAUGGAACCAAGCCGCGAUCAUAUUAAACAGAAGAUAGAAAAGAUGAGGACAAUAAACUAUAAGCAAGAAAAACGCAUAAAUUACUUUGAAAAAAGUGCUUACCGCAUUACAAGUUUCUACUUCAUCUUUCAAGGAAUGAUCUUCAUUUCCAUCUCCAAACGUUCAUCAUCCCUCCCUUGUUACCACUGGUGGAUCCCUUUCACUCUGUCCCUCCUCUCCUCUACCAUCUAUGGUCUCACAUUCUUCUCCACCCUCACCAAUUGCAUCCAAACCUUAUAUCACCUCGACUUGAACAGGCUGGAACUUGAGUUGAUGAUACAACAACUGCACAUGGGGGAGCAGCAAGGUAAUCAGAUGACCCAAGAUCAGUUGAAGCCUGAUAAAGUUCAGUGGUUGCGACGCUAUGCGCUUGUUUACCUAGUAGUUCUAGUCAUGCUUGCCUUUGCAGGCAUAAUGCUAUAUGCAUGUCACUCCUUUCUCUGCAACACGUAAUGGCAAUUCCCAGCAGUAAUAUUCAGCUUUGAUGAAUAAAGAAGAAUCCAGUUUGUUGUUUGGUUGUUUUAAGUAUAGAGUUUGUGUAAAUCAUCUGCACCUGGGCUCUGAUACAUUGCCUUAUUGUUAAUAUUGGUAGAUCCUUGUGAGUUCUACUAGUGAAUGUGAGCAUGUACUAUGAAUACAGUGAGUCUCAUGUUGUGAUUUUGUGGUUUCCCGUUGGUUUGUAGUUUUGGGAAGGUAUUUGUUUUGUGGUAGUCACUUGCUUUCAUGGUGGGGACUUUUGAUGCUUCAAUGAUAAAUUAUUGUUUGGUUCUAAA